rnacentral:tRNA from 1 species
CGCGAAGUAGAGCAGCGGUAGCUCGUCGGGCUCAUAACCCGAAGGUCGCAAGUUCGAUCCUUGCCUUCGCAA